rnacentral:rRNA from 1 species
AUGAACGCUGGCGGCGUGGAUAAGGCAUGCAAGUCGAACGCCUCUAUCGCAAGGUAGAGGAGUGGCAGACGAGGUAGUAACACGUAGGAACGAACCCGAUAGUCAGGAAUAACGUGUCGAAAGACACGCUAAUACUUGAUAGUCUCGCAAGAGUAAAGCUUUAUGCGCUAUCGGAUCGGCCUGCGGGAUAUCAGCUAGUUGGUAGGGUAAUGGCCUACCAAGGCGAUGACGUCUAGGAGAGCUGAGAGGCUGACCUCCACCGAUGGGACUGCGACACGGCCCAUACACCUACGGGUGGCUGCAGUCGAGAAUCUUCCGCAAUGGGCGAAAGCCUGACGGAGCGACGCCGCGUGACUGAUGAAGUCUUUCGGGAUGUAAAGGUCUUUUAUGAGGGACGACGUUAUCGACGGUACCUCAUGAAUAAGGGGCUGCUAAUCACGU